GAGGAUGUAGCUCGGUGGUAGAGCACAUGCUUUGCAUGUAUGUUGUCCCAGGUUCAAUACCUGAUACCUCCA
rnacentral:tRNA from 1 species